UUGUGACAGCCUGUGAACUCUAGAAUUAAAAUCAAUUAUUACUCAGAGUUCCACAGACUUCCUAUGAAAGGUGAGUGGAGGCAAACCUAUAUAAAAUAGUAGAGUCCUCCCCUGUGUUCUCCGAAAAUGCCAGAUAAAUUCUCCUUCAUUCAGUAGAAAACUAUGAGACUUUUCAGAUCUUUAUAAUUUUUUGUCUUUACUUUAAAAUUAAAAACUGUAACUGUAUCAUGAUAUAUUUCAAGAAGAAGUUUUGUUGUUGGUUUUUUGGUGUUUUUUGCUUUUUUUUUCACUAAGGCUGGGUUCUGAAUGAUUCACGGCAUUCUUUUGCGGUGUGAUCACACUCAUUCUGAGCUAACACCUCCAGCCAUUUUUUUUUCUAGUGCUUCUUGUUCUGAUCCGUCUAAACAUCUUGAUGUUUAAGUUGGAGAAGCUGAGUUGCUGUUUAUGAGUUAUCUCUAGCCCUCAGAUAUCCGGCAGCUUUUUCCUAGGAAGUUGCACUGACCUCGAUAGAAGAAAUCUCUCGGUGUGCUGGCAAACACCGUUUGCCUUUGAGGGAGAGGGAAGACACAGGGGCAGCAGAAGCAUAUACCUGCAGCAUCCUUCCCACCUACCACACCUGGCUUCCAACCGACUCCAGGAAUUGGAGGUCCUAAGUGGGGCUUCCGGCUCCUGUUCCCACGGAAGGCUCCAAAGGACACUGGAGCCAGGGCAGGGAUCCGUGCAGCAGAGGUGGGCGGCAUACCUGGCUCCCUGCGACGCGAGCGAGGGCAGAGGAAGAGAAGGAGAGAAAAGAAGACCGCAUUGAGAGCUACCCUCAGACACACCUGGAGAGUCUACCCCUGGCGCCCCCAACCACCCAGUCAGCAAAACCUCCAGGCCCAACUGCGCAAGGGAGCUCAAACCUCCUCUAAUCUCCGUGGUUCCAUGAGGACCGGGCCCACACGCCCCGAGGUGGAAGCAGACCCUGUCCACACCCAGCAAAUCUAAAACGAAAGGCCUGCUCCUAAUACUCCAGAGGAGUCGCAAGGACGUGGAGAAAGGUUUCGUGGCUUAUUUGUCCUGUCCAAAUACAGAGUCUACAUCAGAUUUCCUGGUGUCUCUCUCUAGAACCUGCCUUGAUUUAUUGGUUUCUUUCAAUGGCCCUGAUUCUCCCA